rnacentral:sRNA from 12 species
GGCCUAAACCAUUCAUUUUGUGUGGCAUGGCUCGAAAGACCCAAGCAUGGUACUGAACCCCGCGUUCAGCGACUCAUGCUUGGGCUAUGCCGGGAAACCGGUAUGGGGCCGCAAGGCCU